rnacentral:lncRNA from 10 species
AGUCCUGAGGGAGCCGACUUGCUUAGAAGUUUCCUGAGGCCUCCUCCGGAGUGGAGCAGAUGCUGCCAUGCUUCCUGUGCAGCCUGUGGAACGGGUCUCAUUCUGUCUCCCAGGCUGGAGUGCAAUGGCACAAUCAUGGCUCACUGCAGCUUCAACCUCCUGGGCUCAAGCAAUCCUCCCACCUCAGCCUCCAGAGCAACUGGGACUACAGGGACUUUAAGAAGCUGCUGAAGAACCCAAGAGGAAGGUGGGAGCUGUUGAUGGUGUGGAAUUAGAGGCCUGAUGGAGUGGAGAGCUUUCCUCCUCAUCACCUGGGUCAGGACCAUGGAGCUCCUUGAGCCUUGAGAUUCCAGGCCCAGGAGCACAUCAUCAUUGUGCUUCUUGGGGCCCAGGCGCAUCUCCUAAGAACUUGUUCUUAGACAUGUUGUGCUCAAACUUGUGGCAUCAUAGCAGUAAUAGUUUACAAUAUACCUACAGUUUCCUGGGCAGAUCAUCGUGUGCAGACCGGCUGCAGAGAGAAGGGAACUGUUUCACUUUCAUCUUCCUGGGCCAUUUCCAGAUAUGAAUUGCAGAGACAUAUUUCAAUAUAUCCUCACCCAAAUAUGCUUUAGAAGUACAUUUCUUUUAAUGUAAUAAGAUUUAUGUCCUUUGUGUUUGUUUAGAGGGUAAAUCUGGAUUUGUAUUUUUAGAAGUUACUUUCACCAAAGAAAUUCGAAAGAAAUAGUGUUUCAGAAAAAUCAAAACAAGCCAUAGAAAUCUAAUAUGUUUCAGAUACUAUAUUGGGCUGCAUGAAGACUAAAUCCAUAAUAUGUAUGAAUAAUGUAUUCUAAAGUAAAUAUCAUAUUUUGUCAAAUUAUUUGUCUGGCAAAAUUAAGUUCUUUUUUCUUUAAAAUGAACUUUUUUUCUUAUUUCGAAGUGAUGU